rnacentral:sRNA from 1 species
AUAUUAUUAUGAUUAUAUUAUUAUUAUAAGAAACGACCCUGACAACUUAAAAACGUUAAAGGAAACCCGAAAAUGGCACUAUAGACUGGCACGACCAGCUAAUACCGGACAUGACUAAGCAGCAUCCCGAAAAAAGAACAGCACACAUCAGAAGCGUAACAAGCCACAGGAUCAGACAUAGAGCAAAUCCAAGGCCUAUAAAACUUGAAAUGAAAUAUCUACCACAAAACAUUGCAACACGAAAACACAAUAUAAUAGCACAAGAAGAUUGAAAACACUGAAGGAGGAGUAAAUCUUGAAUUUUAUGCAGAGCAGUAUAAGGGCUGUGCAGAGGCACAGCAGAUGGAAUUUUUUUUUUUGAAUGCCCAAACAAAAAAUAAUAUAAAUAAAACCAAAGUAAACCCACGAGAUGCUACACAUACAGAGAAAAGAAACAAAAUCUUACACAACAUUAAAUAACGGGAAAGCCAAGAGAUGGUAAGAAAAUAGGAGAGAAAUAUUUUGCAAGAACCCGAAGAAACACACAAAAAAUAUAAAACAGCAGGCAAAAAAACACACUUGUAUCCGGGGGAAAGAAAUUAAAAAACUACAACAAAAAUUUUAUUUUUCAAGGCAUAGCAAAAGCAUGUUUGAGAAAAGAGCUCAAACCAUAUAUGCCAAGAAAAUGCAGAAAAUACAGCAGAAAGUUUUUUUUGAAGGGAAUUUUAAAAAAUCAUAUUCAAAUUAAAGAAUUCAACUAAUCUCUAACUAUAGUGCAUAAAUACAAACAAAACAAGGAAAGCAAAGUCAGAUGCUGGAAAAAAAAGAACAGCAGCGGGUUUUUUAAGUCGGUAAACUCCACAAAUAAUACCCAAAACACACAAUUCCCAGAACAGAGCUAAUGCACGGAUAUAGAGUUGGGCUAAAACAAAUGAAAACGGUGAAUUUUUUUUUUUAUAGAAACUAAGAAAAGUAUAUACUUAUCACAUAUUUGAACAUAUACUCAGAAAAACAGUUUAAUCGAAAAGAAAAAUGUUUGUGAAUCAAUGUUAUCAAUGUCUACAAAUAUCAAUGGGAAAUUUCUUAACUAAUAAUCUUUAUACAUAUGUACUUGAAUAAGAAUAAGAACGCAAAUCAAUGAGCAGGACAUCUAGAGAGCUGUCCGUUCCAACAUUCGCAGGACCUAGAGCAAUGGUGGACGAGGCUAUCAAGUGCAAUGUGAAUUCGGAACAGGAGCAAUGAUAAAACGGCGUUGGAAUAUAUGGCCACUUAGAUGACGAGAUUCCAAUAGCUCCGGACAGGACAGUGCAUAUAGUUGACAGCUCGUUGGCCAUAUCAAAUAUCCAAUAAUUAUCAACCCUACAUUACUCUUUAAAUGUAUUCGGUGUUGUGAUAAAAAGAAAAUACUUACAGGAGAUUCCAGUUUGAAAAAUGAGUAAAAGCAUGUUUAACCAGAUGGGGGAAAGUGACGACACAAUAACCCCAAAAAAAAAA